rnacentral:rRNA from 1 species
AUUGAACGCUGGCGGCAGGCCUAACACAUGCAAGUCGAGCGGAGCGGGGGACGGGUGCGUAAUGCCUAGGACUCUGCCUGGUAGUGGGGGAUAACGUUCGGAACCGGGCGCUAAUACUGCAUACUAUCAGAUGAGCCUAGGUCGGAUUGGCUAGUUGGGGGGGUAAAGGUCUACCAAGGCGACGAUCCGUAACUGGUCUGAGAGGAUGAUCAGUCACACUGGAACUGAGACACGGUCCAGACUCCUACGGGAGGCAGCAGUGGGGAAUAUUGGACAAUGGGCGAAAGCCUGAUCCAGCCAUGCCGCGUGUGUGAAGAAGGUCUUCGGAUUGUAAAGCACUUUAAGUUGGGAGGCGUUACCAACAGAAUAAGCACCGGCUAACUCCGUGCCAGCAGCCGCGGUAAUAC